UUUUAGUUCAAAGUUUUGUGAAAUUCUCUAUAAAAAAAAAUCUACACAAUUUGUACAUUGGCUUUGUGAAGUGGCAACACGAUCUCCGUCGGAGAAAUCAUUCUUAUGGUUGGAGCUCAACUUCAACCAAAACCAGUUUAUUUCCAAUCGAAAUGAGAAGAAGAAGACUAGAAGAAGAACAGAAGAAGGAGAAAGAAGAGGAAGAAAAGCAGAACACAACAAGAAGAAGACAGCAGCAGAGAAGAAGUAGAAGAAGAAAGAAAGCAGCAAGAAGAGGGUAGAACCAGAGAAGGAACAAGGAAGGGGAGAAGGGAAGAAAACGAUGCCUGCAAGCCAAAGCCUCAAUUUCGAUUCAUUCAACAGCCUUUUUCCAAGGCUUUCAAUACAACCUAUAUAGAAAAAAACAACCUUCAAAGUAAAAGGCUUAGGCUAGCCCACUAUACAAGCCCAAUUAAAUAAAAAUAAAACCAAAUGGUCCAAUUCAUGACAUUUCUUCCCCUUAAAUUAACCUUGUCCUCAAGGUUCAUCUUUACUUGCCACAAAGAAAACCUUGUAUUAUGAUCUAGUUAUGAAAUAUCAUACUUCAGAGCCCGAUUUAUCAACAAGUAUACAGCUCAACAGUCAUGGAGAUAUGAGUUUGUGUGAGAGAGAGACGGGUUUGGUCUUCCACAGGGCUUUCGAUGUGUGGGGAGAGACGUGUUUGGUCUCUCACAAAGCUCGAUGUAUGAAGAAAAGAUCAUUGAAGUUGUCCCACAUCGAUUGUGGAUGGGAUUGGUAUCCAGUUUAUAAGUGUGAGGAAAAGCCUCACCGCUUGAACUAGCUUUUGGGGUGAGAGAUACUCAAUAUUACCGAACGGAAACUACAAAAAGGGGAUAAGGUCCUGUAGCAGAAGAUGUGUUCAUUGGCAAGCCACAAUUAUGGGGCCUUCUGAUAGCCCUUAUGUUGGAGGUGUAUUUUUAGUUUCUAUUCAUUUUCCUUCUCAUUACCCUUUUAAGCCACCAAAGGUAUACUUCAACUCUUUGCUUUAAGAUUGUUACAUUUAACCAUUAUUCAGUUGUUGAUUCAUGGUGACAUGGCAUCAGCUGGUAGGAUGAUGUGGCAGAGUACUUCAAACGCUAAUUACUUUGUUGUUUUAGACCAAUGGAAAUGUGUAAUUCUUGCAAUCUGUCCUUAUAUCAUACUUGAAUAUGGCUUUGCUGACUUUUGGGUUGUUCAUUUGCUCUCAUUAAAUAUUUUUUAGAUCAUGUGAUAUUACUUUCCUACAGUUGUUUUCCCGUCCACAAAAAACUUUCAUUCUAAAUAUUUUGAUCAUUCAACACCACCUAAUAUUAAGUUAUUAUUUCUAAUUGCUUUUCAAGCUUAAGGUUUCGAUCUUUUUGUCAAUUUUUUUCCCUCCGAGUUAACUUGAAUAUUAUGUGGGAAACAGCAAGCCAAGCAACCUCUCUAGAAAUCCAUACAUGGAGGCGCAAACAAGCAUGAAGAAUUUCAAGUCUGACUCUGCAUUUUUAGGCAAGCGCGCUCGAGUUUCAGAUUGACGUGUAUUUUCAAUUUCUUUAUUUGUUGAGUGCAUAUUUUUUGGGGGAUAUUUAGCAGAAAUGCUAUCUAAAUUGAA